UUCGAUUAUGGCUCAGAUUGAACGCUGGCGGGAUGCUUUACACAUACCAGUCGGGCGGCAGCGCGGACUUCGGUCUGGUGGCGGAAGUGGCGAACGGGUGAGUAAUGUCCAGACGUGCCUAGUGGCGGGGGAUAGUAACUACGCGAAAGCGUAGCUAAUACCACAUACGCCCUUCGGGGAAGCGGGGGGCCUUCAGGCCUCGACACUAGAGCGGCCGAUAUCGGAUUAGCUAGUUGGUGAGGUAACGGCUCACCAAGGCGACGAUCCGUAGCUGGUUUGAAGGUUAAACCAGCCACACUGGGACGAGACACGGCCCAGACUCCUACGGGAGGCAACGGUGAGAGGGAAUUUUUGGUUAAUCGAGACCAGUCCAGAAUCAUCCGGUAUUGCGAUGAGGCCCCUUCGGAUUUGUAAAGACACUUUUGGCAGGAAAGAAACGGCACGGGAUAAUACCCGUGCAACCUGUUGAUGCCAGAAUAAGCGCGGCAACUACGUGCGGCAGCCGCGGUAAUACGUAGGGUGCAAGCGUUAAUCGGAAUUACUGGGCGGCAAAGCGUGCGCAGGCGGUUCGGAAGGAUGCUUGAAAUCCCAGAGCUUAACUUUGGGCUGCAUUUUAACUACCAGACUAGGUGUGUCGGAGGGUGGGAUUAGUGUAGCAGUGAAAUGCGUAGAUAUGCGGAAGAGUACGAUUCGGCGAGGCAGCCUCACAGGAUAACACUGACGCUCAUGCACAGCAGAGGAACGACGCGAGUUAGAUCUCCCUCGUGCGAUCCCGCCCUGACGAUAUCAACCUGCGCUGUUGGGCCUUCAAAGACGCCCAGUAGCGCAGCUAACGUGAAGUUGGUAACGCCUGGAGACUGGUCACCAGAUUAAAACUCAAGGAAUUGACGAGGUCCCGCUUACAAGCGGUGGAUGAUGUGGAUUAAUUCGAUGCAACGCGAAAAACCUUACCUACCCUUGACAUGUCUGGAAUCACGAAGAGAUUUGGGAGUGCUCGCAAAGAGAACCGGAACACAAGGUGCUGCAUGCUUUGUCGGUAGCUCGUGUCAGUGGAUGUUGGGACUGAUCACGCAGCAGGCAUGGCCUUGUCGUGGAUUUGCUACGAAGGGCACUCUAAUGAGACUGCCGGUGACAAACCGGAGGAAGGUGGGGAUGACGAUAGUCCUCGUGGCCCUUAUGGGUAGGGCUUCACCGUAUUACAAUGGUCGGGACAGGGGGUCGCCAGCCCGCGGGAGGCCAAUCCCGAGAAACCCGAUCAUGUGUCCGGAUCUGCAGUCUGUGUCGACUGCGUGAAGUCAGGAUCCUUCGUGUCGCGGAUCAGCAUGUCGCGAGUGGGCCACGUUCCCGGGUCUGUACACACCGCCGUCUGGCCAACAUAUGGGAGUGGGUUUUACGAAAGUAGUUAGCCUAACUUAAUAAGGGCGGUCUACAGUAGGAUUGAUUCAUGACUGGGGUGAAGUCGUAACAAAGGUAA
rnacentral:rRNA from 1 species